rnacentral:rRNA from 1 species
GUAGGUGGCAAGCGUUGUCCGGAAUUAUUGGGCGUAAAGCGCGCGCAGGCGGUCCUUUAAGUCUGAUGUGAAAGCCCACGGCUCAACCGUGGAGGGUCAUUGGAAACUGGGGGACUUGAGUACAGAAGAGGGAAGUGGAAUUCCACGUGUAGCGGUGAAAUGCGUAGAGAUGUGGAGGAACACCAGUGGCGAAGGCGACUUUCUGGUCUGUAACUGACGCUGAGGCGCGAAAGCGUGGGGAGCAAACAGGGAUUAGAUACCCUGGUAGUCCACGCCGUAAACGAUGAGUGCUAAGUGUUAGAGGGUUUCCGCCCCUUUAGUGCUGCAGCUAACGCAUUAAGCACUCCGCCUGGGGAUACGGCCGCAAGGCUG